UCUCUUAUGUUUCUGAAAUUGAAUAAAGACGCUGAUGAUGUUGAAACCAAGAGCUUUGUUGGUGGUCUGAGUUGGAUGAGAAGCAAAAAUUAAGGGUUUAACAGUUUAGAGAUCAGUGGGUAUUCAUCAAUCGAAGUUUGAAAGCAAAGAAGAAAAAGGGUUGUGGGGUUUCCGAAUUCUCAAAGUCCGACAGAGAAGAGGGUGCUGCUAAUCGAAUUACAGAAGAAGAAUAAGUGGAUUUGAAUGCAAGUCUCAGAGAAAGAGAUAAAUUGAGGUUUUGUGGUCAAGUAAUAGAUGGGUUUGAUGAUUCGAGAGGCUUGGAAGAAAGAUAAGAACAUGGAGAAAUAAUACAGGGUUAGGGUUUGAUUUGAGUUGAGCAGAAAUUCAUGGGGUUGUAAUGAUGAUUGUGCUGAUGGUGAAUGAAAUUGGAGCAAUUGAUGAUGAUUUAGGGUUCUUAAAAGAAGAAUCUAGGUCGAUUUCAGAUUCCAGUGUUGAAUUGAUGAUGUAUGCGAUUUUGUUCGAGGGAUUUUGUGCUACGUGGUUGAUAUUCAAGUACUGGGUUGUCUUCAGUGCACACUGUUGCAUCUCUUGGUGGCCUGAGAUGAUAUAACAGGUGGCUGCUUAGAUGUAUGCUUAGGUCACAGGAGGUGGAUAUGCUGGUGUCGGUUGGUAUGAGCUGAAUUGAUUGUGCUCGAGUUGGUAAUGCAGUUGCAGUUGGAGAUGUGACUGAGAUGAAGUUGCAGUUAAUGUUGCAGCUGGAUGCUCGAGUUUGUAUGAAUUUGAGAUUGUUCGAGUCACUGGUGAAUUUUAGAGAUGGGGAAGAAGAUGUUCUCUGCUGGUGAUUGUAUAAUGGAAUGGGUUGCAAUUGCAGUCAAUGUUAAUGGAGGAGCUGAACUAUAGAUGUAUGCUUAGGAAUGAAUUGGUACAGUGUGAAUACAAGACUGAGAAAGAGAUGGUUUGAUGCUCAAUAGAUGUAUGUUAGGAAUUUACAGGGAGGUGUUGCUUGAAUUGUAAGGAUUUGAGUUGGAUUGCUUAGCUCAAACUGGUGGCAUUACAAGCUGAGUUAAAGAUGGAAGCAGAGAGGAUUCUCAACUGAAAUUGCAGUGAGAUGGUUGGUGAUACUUCCAUGGCUAGGUAGUGAUGAAUUCAAGAUGUAAUUGACGGAGAUGUUCCUGUUGAAGCUUAAUGAUAAACAGAGUACAUGAUUGUGCUGGUCUGGCGUAAGGGGAGACAAUGGAUGCGCAGGUCUGCAUUGCAGGUGAUGGCUGAGCAGUUGUGGGAUUGAAGCUAUAGAAAACUGAAGAGAUGGAGGUAAUUAUGGAGUUGGUAUGAUGAAGCUGAAAGAGAUGUAUUUGUUGCAGUUCAUGGAUGAAGCAGCUGAGAGUACAGGAAUUGCAGGAGCUAUAGAAAUGGAAUGAUGUGCCGAAUGUAUAUGAACUGAGCAUGAGAUGGUGUUGGUGUUGCACGCAAUAAGAAGAAGUGGAGUUGAUUUGGAGCAGCAGAAGAAGGGGUCAUCAUGGUUGGGACUCGACUCGGCAUUUCAAAUCGGUGAUUCAAGAAAAUCCAACUCUACUCAUGAGGAAGGGCUUUUUGGACAUUUGACCCUGCCACCUAAGCGUUAACAGCUGCUAACUGCCGUUUACCGUUUUUUGAAUGAAACGGUCAAGGCAAGGGUACUUUAACAAAUUUUAAAAAAACGGGGGCAUCUUUUUAGUAUAAUGUUAGCCCAAAAUAAUUUCCCUACCAACAAUAAUUCAAGUAACACUCGGAGAAGGAGACAAACUUUCGAUUAUUGUGAAUUUGGGAUUCAUUCUCAAAGUUUAUACAAUUGACUAGUUUCUGUCGA